UUUAGAAAACUUCAUAAGCUUAGAGAUAUCCCCACUGACUUCUGAAUUAGAAUGUGCAAGAUAAAAGCAAAUGCAUUUCUUUAAGCAUUACCAUGGCAACAUUAUUAAAGUUAUGUUAGUUAAGACUGCAACAAUGUUUCUAUUUUUAAUAAAACAAAAGUGCUUUCUCCUCUUUAGUAGUCCAUAUAAAAUGAACCAUUACAGAAAUAUUUACUUCAAGUCUGCCUCAAAAUUAGAGAUUAUUAUCUCAAGUAAUGUUCAAUCAUCGCUGACAUAGCAUAAAAUCUUUGGAAACUGAUACAUUGUAUUAAAAAUCUAACACCCUAAAAUAACAGAUCUAAAUAUUUUACAUACAACUGAUCCACAAGCAGUAAUGAAAAUUCCAAUAAAUAAUCUCAUUUGGAAUGUAAAGCUAAUAUACUUUUCACCCAUUCCAGCAGCUGCUACAGAAGCAUACCUUUAUGUAUAUAUAUACACUGGGUUGCCUAGGUAAAACUUUCAGUAUUAUUUGCAAUUUGCAGGUACUCAAAAAUAGGCAAUCCUAUUUCUGCAUGUAGCAAUGCAUGACAGGUAUGUUUUAUUUUUAUUCUAGAUUAUCAGAACUUUUUUUUUUCACUUUGCCUAAAUGUCUCCUAAUAUUAAUGCCUCUUUAUUCCCCAGGAGAUAAUACCCUAAAAUAUAAACAUAUAUUUGUUAAUCAUGAAAGGAGCAAGAGUAGAAAAGUACUAAAAAGGAGAUAGUUGAGUGAAAGUGAGAUCGAUAUGGUCUCUGAAUUGUCAUCCUUUCAGUGUUACACCAGCAUUUUAAUGGAUGAAAAAUUAAUUUACAUAUGUUAGUUAGGCAGUUACUUGGAAGUAGAAAUGCGUACAAAACUCACAGUGAACUGGAAUCACAGAUGUCCCCAAUAUUCUCAUUUGCACAAUUCUUAGAUAUGUUUCCUCUGCCUUUUCAGAUACCUUUAAUGGAAAACGCACUAGGAGAAUUUGCCAUAAAGUUGCUGUGUCAGCCAGAAUGAUUGGCACAUGAUGCCCCCUGCCUUUCUUCUUGCAUAUACUUACUUCAUCCUGGAAGGCAUUCUAGGCUGCAAGAGAAUUGGAAACAAGUGAGCAGGUGGACAAGAAGCUGAGAGGGCACAUGGACAAGACAGAUGACCCAAACUGGCCAAAGACAAAUUCCAUGCCACCGAAUGUCAUGUUUAGUAUAUAAACUGUGAAGAAUGACCAGGAGCUACUGAUCGGCCUUUGCGUCAGUCUCCAGUGCUGGGUGAUUGUAUGUGCAUGGCAUAUCCUGGACUUUAUUUAUCUUUCUUCUUUUGUGUUGUCUCCCUUUUCAUUAUAAUUGUUGCUGUUGUGUUUUUUGGGUUUUUUUUUUAAUUUUAUCUCAAUUAUUAAACAGUUCUUAACCUAUAAUUUGUACAUUUUUUCUGAUUCUACUGACAUCCCACCAGGGAGGGAGGCUGUGGGGAGCAGCUCUGGUGCCUAGCUGGAGCUUACAUCAUGACAGUUAACCAGAUGUGAAACAUAGAAGGGUAUAAUGAUAUUUCCAUGAAUGCAAGGUAUCAGCAAGGAUGAAUUGUAGUAGGAAGAGUGAAACUCAUCAUUAGAUAGCAAGGGUCUGUCUAAUUAAAAUUUACAAAGUGAAGAAUGAAUCAUGCUCUAUGAUCUGGAAUGCUGUGAAGUUUUAAAGGGGAAAAAAACCCCACACUUCUUUCAGCAUGUUACCCAGGCUGCUUGUGUGACCUAGCAGGCACUCUCUGAGUCAGAGAACAUUCUGAAAAGAAAAUUUGUCCUUUAAAGUCUCACAGACAGCAUAUGGUAGAGGUGGGAAAGAAGGUAUCAGAUGAAUAUAUGAAAUUGAAGUUUUGAUUCUUCAAUAAUAAUGAAUGGACAACUUCUCUCACCAAUUCUUUUUCCAGUGAUGUCCUAAGCUGAGAUGUCUCAGAAAACAAUGCCAUAUUUAAGCCUUAUACAUUUGAAUUAAGCAUGCUCCUCAUUGCUAAUAAAGCACAAAAAUUGUGUGA